UAGGGAAUUUUCGUCAAUGGGGGGAACCCUGAACGAGCAAUGCCGCGUGAGUGAAGAAGGCCUUCGGGUCGUAAAGCUCUGUUGUAAGUGAAGAACGGUACUGACAGGGAAUGGUCAGUAAGUGACGGUAGCUUACCAGAAAGCCACGGCUAACUACGUGCCAGCAGCCGCGGUAAUACGUAGGUGGCAAGCGUUAUCCGGAAUUAUUGGGCGUAAAGGGUGCGUAGGCGGUGCGAUAAGUCUGAGGUAAAAGGUUACAGCUCAACUGUAAUACGCCUUGGAAACUGUCGGACUAGAGUGCAGGAGAGGGCAAUGGAAUUCCAUGUGUAGCGGUAAAAUGCGUAGAUAUAUGGAGGAACACCAGUGGCGAAGGCGGUUGCCUGGCCUGUAACUGACGCUGAAGCACGAAAGCGUGGGGAGCAAAUA
rnacentral:rRNA from 1 species